GCACCAGCCUUGUAAUCGAAGUCAUCUACGUGGUUGUCUUUUUUAUCUAUUGCAACGAUGAAUCACGUAUCCAGACAACUGGGAUAUGUCUUAUUUUUGAGGUUAUGAUUGUGGCAAUACUCUAUUCGUAUACCCUUUUGUCCAUUGAACAUUUACCGGCUAGACGUACAUUCAUCGGUGUUGUUUGCAACGUUUUCACCAUUUUUAUGCAUGCUUCACUUGUCAUGAUGGAUACAAUGUUGGAGACUAGUGGUUGUAGGUACAUGAUGCCAUUUUGGUUGUCGUUUCUUAGCUUCAUCAACGCUAGCAUUUGGACAGC